GCAGUCCCUUGGACGUCUCAUGGUGACCUCACUCCGACAGUUCUCUUUGCCCAUAAAAGGAGCACACCCAAAACCAGGAAAUACGGAGCGGACCUGCCCGGCCAUCCUACAGCUGAUAACUGGGGGUCCUGGCGGGGAGACGUCUUCUGAUUAGUUUAUUGUCAAGGAUUGUCCAAACCCUUCAAUGUAAUAGGAAACCAGUAAUGUCUAAGACGACGUUCACACUCAGUCCCUCAUGCAGAGCCAUUCUUCCUAUGAAAAUGACAGAAACCACAGCAGCGCUGAAAGUCGACGUGGCGUCUGUCGGGUGCGUGUGGUAUCUGCCAUGACAUCGAUCCGGCAACUCAUCCUGGUCUCCAUUAAUGAAAACCACAACACAAGUGUCAUCAAAUUAAAGGGUUGGAAUUUUUUUUUUUUUAAAGGAAAAAUGGCUUUAAAAAA